rnacentral:misc_RNA from 1 species
CUGUCAAAAUUGCGAAGGACAAUUUCGUGUUCAGGACACCCGAGUCCUUGUAAAGUUCCAAUCCAAAUUUACGCCAAAAUGACGUGAUGUGAUUGCUAACCACGUCCGAAUAUUAAUCGAGUGAUUAAUUAGCGCCGAACGACGCUAGAUUUGAACGAAAAACAAUAUCCCAACAAGAAAGGCUGAAGUACGUCGAUCAGGUGUUCGUAUGCGUGCGCGCAGCAAUCUGAAUGCAUGUGUUUGUGUGCGCGACAGUGACAACGGUUCCCAUUGUGCGAUUGUGUUUUUCGUGUUCGUACAUUAGAUUGAAUUGUGCGAUUCGGUAGUGUGCGUGCAGGUGUCAAUUUAAAGAUUUUUUUCGGGUAAAUUUUUGUUUAUUUUCGAGCCUCGCAGAAUUCAUAAAUCAGCGCGAUCUUUUGCAUAAUGCAAUUCGGGCGCGAUGUGAUUUCCAGUGUUUAGGAGCGUUCACAACAAAUGUCUGGCUGAGGCAGAGCGCUUUCGAUGGAUUUGUGUAUUAAACGAAGUAAUGAACGACCAUUUAACCUGCAGCAAUUCCACGAGUAGGAGUCCCGUAGCGCUUGCAGUUUCAUCCCUAAAAGUUUUAAAAUGAACGGUUUGGCCCGAGGGCCGGGGCCCUGCGUCUCCCGACUCCAGAAUUGCAAUUCUUCACAACAGUCUUCGACAUUGUCCUCGAGAUUCUCCUUGUCUACAUCAAGUCAACUCUCAACACGUCAUAAAAAUAAUAAUUUAAAAAAAUAUUGUACGGGUCGUAAUCAAAUUGGAAAACUGGGUUCAAAAAAUCUUGUUUGUGUAUUGAAAGGUGUAGAAUCAUUUGUGUCGAAAUUGAAAUCAAAUAAUAUUGAACUCAUUCUAAACGACGAAGUGCUGCGUAUUGUGGGCCCGCUACAAGCGGCAGCCCUCCCGUUUUCGUCUGCAUGGAGUCAAUGAGACGUAGUGAGGCGAAUAGUAGCCACCACCCGAAUAAGGUGGCCGUCAACAGCUUACCAACGGAAAGCAAUAAACACUCGAGUGGUAGUGGUUCUUCAUCACUAAAUAAUAAUAAGUUAAGUUUUAAUCAGCAGCAACAAGCGUCGCAAUCGCAACAAAUCAAACAACAAAAUCAAGAGCAAAAUCAAUUGCAAAAAACCUCAUCGUCAUCUGAGUCUUCAUCAUCGUCAUCAACAACGUCUUCGUCUUCGUCGUCCGGUGCCUCGACUUCGAGCGAGUCGAAAGACACGAACUUCGAAUACGACGACAACGAGUGGGACGUUGGCGGAAUCGGUGAUCUAAUAAUUGAUUUAGACGCCGACAUAGAAAAAUCAUCAUCAACAGCGGCAGCAGCAGCAGCAGCGUCGGUCAGCGUUAAUUCGCAAACGCAACAAGCGUCAAAUCAACAAAUAUCGGCAAAUUUGCCAAGCGUUAGUAGCAAUAAUAAUAGCGGGGGUGGUGGCAGUAAUAGUACGUCGAAUCAAGUCUUAAAUGCUCACGAGAAAUCUCCAAGCUCAGCAUCAUCAUCGAGAUCGUCAUCGUCGCCAUCAUCACCAACAACUGUUUCGUCAAAAUCGUCGAGUCUCUCAUCGCUUUUUGCUCCGAUCCCUCUACGUGCGUCCGGAGGACAACAGCAGUCCAACCAGCAGCACUCUAAUCUGCAAAAACAAAGAGCAAGUAACACUUCUCCCGCUUCAUUCCAAUCAAGUGCUACUAAACUGAAUUCCAAAGUCAGUUCAACGAAAGCUUCCUCAAACCUGAAACUCCAGCAACCUGCACUCUUAGCACAACUAAAUAGCAAAUCCGCUGCUUCAGACCAUUCACGCUUCCCAUCCUCUUCUUCGGCGUCCGCGCAAUUAUCAAAUUCUACUUCUGUUUCUCGAAACUACCAAAGCAGCAGCGCGGGCAAUCAUCCAUUACAAGUUGACAGGCACGGAAAGUUGUUAACAGGCAUAGUCCCAACGAUGUCCUCUCAGCAGAGUGGAGGCCAGGGAGCUGGCAAAACUGCAACAAAAAUGUCAAUUGACCAUCAAGCAACUCUUGACAAAGGUCUCAAGAUGAAAAUAAAGCGCACGAAACCCGGCACUAAAACCUCGGAGGCAAAACAUGAAAUAGUAAAGGCUGAACAAAACGGAACGACGACAAAUGUCGAAGAUAACAAUAUCUCAUCGAGUAAUUCGUCCUCUUCUUCGUCAUCUUCCAGUGGAAAGAAACACAGCCAAAUGAAUUCUGCCGCGGUACAACCUAUCCAGCAAACCCAACAGCCCACAAAGCGAGGUAGUAGCGGUCACCGACGUGAUAAAACCCGCGACAAAACGCCACAUUCGCGAGACAAAUCGGAUCACGGAAGUGGGGGUGGAAGUUCCAAUAAUAGUAACAGUAGCGGCAGCAACAGUUCCUCCAGUUCAAAUGCAAAUAAUGCUUCGCAAAGUGAUCGUUCAUCAACCUCUUGCAAUUGCUCGCACGACAUCCAAGUGAACGGGGUCCAAGCGCCUUGCACAAAUGUUUCCUGUGUUCGGAGUCGGACACCCACAACAACAGUGGAUUCUGCAAACAGCAACUCAUUGUCUCAAAGAAUCUCUGCACCGUCUGCUGGCAGUCAGCAAUCGGGCAACACAACCGGAAACUCCCUUAGUGGGAAUUCUUCGUCAAAUUCCUCCUCGUCAAACCAUAGCACAGGCGGGGCUAAUUCAUCGAAUCUAUUUUCGAACAAUAACAGUUCUACAAAUGUUCAAUCUUCAAGUAGUGGCACGCCGAACGCUCCUGGUCCACCAAAGGACAAGCUGUCGUCCUCGAAUACCAGCAAUCUGCACCAUCAACAGCAACAGUCUUCGCCAGCAACAGUCUCAAAUUCCACAUCCUCCUCCAUGUCCAACAUCCAACAAUCGAGUCAAACUCACAAUUCCUCACCGGUUAUCCACAAUAGCAGCAACCAAAAUAGUUCGAGCGGGAACAGCUCUCAACAGCAAUCAAUAUCGGCAACAGUUCACCAUACGAUCUCGGUGGCCGCGAACUGCGACGAUAGAAGUUGCAGCCCGCCGGCAAAGAAGCCCAAAUGUGAUCCCAAAGACAUGAUUGAUAUCUGUGUCGGAACAUCAGUUGGUACUAUAACCGAGCCUGACUGUUUGGGGCCUUGUGAACCGGGCACCUCGGUGACGCUGGAGGGUAUCGUGUGGCAUGAGACUGAAGGUGGAGUUCUUGUGGUAAAUGUGACUUGGCGAGGAAAGACCUACGUUGGUACACUUUUGGACUGUACGCGCCAUGACUGGGCUCCUCCAAGAUUCUGUGAUUCACCUACUGAGGAACUGGAUUCCCGAACUCCCAAAGGAAGAGGCAAGCGUGGGCGUGGUGCUGCGCUGACUCCGGAUCUAAGCAACUUCACGGAAACCCGAAGCUCUGUACAUUCCAAAUUGCGGAAUGGCGCAAAAGGUCGUGGCGGACGUGCUGUCACAACAACAGGUGCUGCAACAACUACGACGACAACCAGUUCAACGACGGCAGCAUCAUCGACGACUUUGUCGUCGAGCAACUCGAGCAGCACGACCAGUUCGAAUACUCCGUCAACGUCGCCGACCGCUUUUCUACCUCCACGUCCCGAAAAGCGCAAAUCAAAGGAUGAAAGCCCAUCGCCCGUGAACGGGGAAUCAUCCACACAGCAAAGUAGUGGUCAAACCCAGAGCUUUGUCAACCCCGUGACUGGGUUGAAUGUUCAAAUCAACCCGAAGAAGUGCAAGACUGCUUCACCAUGUGCGAUCUCGCCGGUAUUGUUGGAAUGUCCCGAACAAGAUUGUAGUAAGAAGUACAAACAUGCCAACGGGCUCCGAUAUCAUCAAAGCCAUGCACAUGGAUCUGGGUCCAUGGACGAAGAUUCAUUGCAGCUGCCUGAGUCGCCGCGGAUCGCCCCACCCACCACACCAUCUCCUGCUCCGGCAACGACACCACAGCCGCAAAUUCCUACUUCAAAUGCAACUGUUGCACAAGUGGCGUCACCGACGGCAGCUUCUCCAAACUUAAUGUCGGCGACAGUUCCUUCCACGCCAUCUCUGCCGACAGUGCAGAGCGCAACAAACCCAGCAGCCGCUUCGACAGGUGGACUCCUGACAACAAUUCCACAAUCGGUGGCUCCAUCCAUACCGCAAUCCAAUGCCGGUCCAGCGGUGUCACUGUCAAGUCAAAUGCCACAGCAUCCUGUACCUGGUGGUAGCAUCACCUCGGGAAUUUCGGGCCAGGCGUUGUCGCAUCAACAGCAACACACAAUGCUUGUGGGUGCAGUUCCAGGUGCUGGACUAAUGGGAAGCAAUAAUCAAACCAUUCCGGAAGCUGGUCAACCACUUCUGUCCCAACAACAAGCGCAGCAGCAACAACAGCAGCAGCAGCAAGUUUUGGUGGCAAAUAGCAAUAUGGCAAAUGCUCCGUCACGAGUCGAUUCUCAAAUCAAGCCCAGUGUGCUGCGGUUUGGUUCACCUUCAGACAACUUGUCUGGUCCGCAAAAUAUGCUUCCUGGUCAGGGUCCCAUCAGACCUACGCCAACAGCCGCCUCGAUGGCUGCAAGUUCGGGUCCGCCAAGUGCUCCGGAAGGGGUUGGGCAUCAGCCAUCUUAUAAUCAAUCACCCGCCUCAGUUCAACAAGGUUUAUCAAAUAGUAAGCCGCAAGGUUACGGAAAACAGAAGAAAAAUCGUUCAAAGUCGCCUGUUCUUGGUGAAUAUGACAAUUCAACGUCACGUGAUAACGUCCAAAGCCCAGCUUACAGCGAUAUUUCAGAUGAUUCCACGCCAGUUGUGGAUAGCGAGAUAAGCGAUAAAUCACAACCUCCUAAGCAUCCGGAUGCCAAAAAAGUACCAGAAGGAGCGCCACCACAAAUUGCCUCAUUGGGAGGUUACAGCAUGUAUCCCUUCUACCCGCAACAACAGUAUAUGGUGCCACCUGAACAUCAGGGCCCCAAACCGCCGGUAUCGCAAUCUUCAUUGCAACCCUCAUCACCUGCCGAAUACAAUAAAUCAAAAGAUCCACCACUUGAUCUAAUGACAAAGCCCGUUCAGCCGAAUGAGCCACCAUCGAAGGAAUCAAAUGUACCUCCACAAAGCCCUGCAGGUCCAGGGCCUCAAAAUCCGAAUAAACCGAUACCGCAUUUCUAUCCGUAUAAUAAUUACAUGCCUCCUGGCUAUCCGUACAACAUGGAACCAAAUUAUGGUCCGAUAUCAAUGGUCUCCGAUGACAAUAAACUCAGCGCGAUUUCCACUGCUUCGCAUUCCAUGAAAGAAGAACGUAGCAAAGAAAAUCCUAGUCCAAGUGAGCAUGGAAAGAUACCAGGACAGAUACUACCAUCGAAGCUAAUGAAAACUGAACCAUCGGUGAAGGAAAUUAAAACCGAGCCUAGCAGUCACCCAAUGCAUCCUAAAGAGCCUCCGGUUCAAUCAAUGGGUUCGUAUCCAAGCAUGUAUCAGAGGCAUCCAGUCGGAGUUCCACCGCAACCGUCGCAACAUAUGUCGCGGGAAGAAGAUGUGAGAAGAUUUUACAUGUAUUCGGAUCAAAGGCGUCCAAACCUCUCGAACAAUCCACCACCAAAUGUUCCUCCAGUUUCUAUAAAAGAAGAAUCACCAUCACCUUCACAACCACCUAUGCAACAUUCAUCUGCGGGCAUCUCGCAAGGACAACAAAUGUCUCAAAUAUCCCAGUCGCCACAAAACCAGUCAUCGCAAUCGCAAAAUACAUCGCAACAACAGAAAAGCGUAAAAUCUAGUCUCUCCAGUUCACAGACAUCAUCAAGCCAGAAAGCUACAAAUCUGGUGAAAGAUACAAAAGAAGAUAAAGAUGUGAAAAUCAAACAGGAGGGACAAAAACCCACGAUGGAAACACAAGGACCACCGCCACCACCAACAUCCCAGUAUUUCCUUCAUCCGCAAUAUUUAACACCGAAUUUCAGUUUCGAUCCGGGCCAUCCGAUGUAUCGUAACGUUCUAAUGUCUACUUCGCCAUAUAACACGCCUCCCUAUCACUUGCCCAUGCCGAGGUUUCAUGCACCCGAGGAUCUUUCACGAAACCCGGGACCGAAAGCUUUAGAUGUGUUGCAGCAGGCGGCCAAUAUGCAGUAUUAUGGAAGUCAUAAAAUUCACGAGCUGAGCGAAAGAGCCUUAAAGAGUCCAAACAGUAGUUCAAAGGCGAGCGUAUCUAGUCCGAACGUUUCACAACAAAGUGUAUCGAAUACAGUGAGCGGAUCGAAUAUUGGCGGAGGUCCAGGCAUGCUGCAACCAUCAGCAGGACCAGGAGGUCCAUUAAAUUUGCAACCUCCGACAGGAGCAAUGCCGCCCGGGAUUGGACCGGGCGGUGGAGUGGGCAUUGGUGGUCAGAAGGGUGAUGGAAAGCCCGGUACCGAUCCAUCGGGUAAAUCAGCAAUAGGGGGCGGCGCGAAUGAUAGUCGAAGUCCGCCGCCCCAAAGACAUGUUCACACACACCAUCAUACACAUGUUGGACUUGGCUACCCUAUGUAUACAGCACCCUAUGGAGCUGCUGUGCUAGCCAGCCAACAGGCCGCCGCUGUAGCUGUGAUAAAUCCAUUUCCUCCUGGACCGAAUAAGUGAGAACAACUAAAUGAUAAAAAUUCAUACAUGAAGUGACGAUAGUGAUAUUAAAAACAAAAAUUCUAUUUUUUAAUAAGUGGUUCUGUCGAGACAAAAGCAAAAUGAUAGAAGAAAAUUUAAAAUGCUUAACAACUUAUCAAAUUAUAACAUAUGAAUGUAUUUAAUCAUAUUACACGUGAAGAAAGAGCGAAAGAAGGCAAGGUUCGAAGAAACAGAAUAGAAGGCCAGCAAAUCGGUGCAGUGACGAAGCUCCAAAAAGACAGGAACAGUUUCCACACUUGUUUUCUUAUUACUAUUAUCAUUACAAAACGUACCAGUGUUUCAACCCGAGUGACAUUCACAAGAAACAAAGCGAGAGAUUAGUCUUGCAAUGCGGAUGCAAUUUUUGCAAUGUUUGUUAGUCGAUGUAAGCGAACGUAUAAAGUGUUUUCUUUUUAAUUCCGCGCGAUCAGAGAGGUUAUAGUAUGUAAAGUUGUCUCCGUAGCUUCUAUUCCAGCUUAGAGAAUGAAACGAAAAAGUAAAAAUGAAAUGAAAUGUUUAGCACGUAAAAGACUGAAAAGUUUUCAUAAUUAGAAGGAGCACAUUCAAGAGGCGUUUUCUAUAUGGAAAAUAAUAAAUGAUAUGAACGUGAUGCGUGAACGGAGAUAUGGGGUAAAUCACAUGUUGAUUGAAUUCGACAAUUUUUUCGGAUGUAUAUCAGGAUUAUGUCCGUGUCCCAUCUGAACAUCAAUUUCAACUUCAAAAAGGAGGUGAUUAUGUCCAAGAAACUUCCAGAUUGUCGAAGCAGCUUCCAGAUCCAGAUCAAGGAUAUUGCCGCCUACGUUCCGUGCUAGGAGAAGAUAUCAGUCGAGGACUUUUCGAGCUACGACUUAAUCCCGCAACUCCAACGUCAUCGUUUACAACUGAAUCAUCCUUCAUUUUCGAACCAUUUCAUCAUUUGCAGUUUCUCCGUCGAAAUCUGCUGUUUUAUUUGCAUUGUCUUUUGCAAGGAUCCUGAAAAUCCCUAGAUAUAUAAGACACACUGUGUUAUAUAGAAUAUGUCCAUAUAUUUAUGUAUUGUACUUUUUGAUAAAUCUCUGUUAAUAAA